rnacentral:rRNA from 1 species
UGGGGAAUCUUGCGCAAUGGGCGAAAGCCUGACGCAGCGACGCCGCGUGAGUGAUGAAGGCCUUAGGGUUGUAAAGCUCUGUGGAGGGGGACGAAUAAGCGUCGGUGAAUAUCCGGCGUGAUGACGGUACCCCUUUAGCAAGCACCGGCUAACUCUGUGCCAGCAGCCGCGGUAAGACAGAGGGUGCAAACGUUGUUCGGAAUUACUGGGCGUAAAGCGCGUGUAGGCUGUCGCGAAAGUCGGGUGUGAAAGCCCUGGGCUCAACCUGGGAAGUGCACUCGAAACUUCGCGACUUGAGUAUCGGAGAGGGAGGCGGAAUUCUCGGUGUAGAGGUGAAAUUCGUAGAUAUCGAGAGGAACACCAGUGGCGAAGGCGGCCUCCUGGACGAUAACUGACGCUGAGACGCGAAAGCGUGGGGAGCAAACAGG